UGGGCUGUAGCUCAGUGGCAGAGCGCUUGCCUCGCAUGUGUGAGGCACUGGGUUCGAUCCUUAGCACCACAU
rnacentral:tRNA from 1 species